GUAGGUGAACCUGCGGAAGGAUCAUUGUCGAGACCGAAUAUAUCGAGCGAUUCGGAAGAACCUGUGAAUGAAUGAGCGGCGGCAUCGUCGUCGCGCAAAUGCCGCCUCCAUCUCCGGCCUUGUUAAAGUGCCGUCGAUGAGAGUCGGAUGAAAACUCAAACCGGCGCAGCUGCGCGCCAAGGAAAUACAAAUAUACACGAUCCUGUAUUGGGUUCGGUGGCGUGGAGUGCAGUCGCACACCACACGGAUAAAAACGACUCUCGGCAAUGGAUAUCUCGGCUCUCGCAUCGAUGAAGAGCGCAGCGAAAUGCGAUACGUGGUGCGAAUUGCAGAAUCCCGCGAACCAUCGAGAAUUUGAACGCAAGUUGCGCCCGAGGCCAGCCGGCCAAGGGCACGUCCGCCUGGGCGUCAAGCGUUACGUCGCUCCGUGCCAGCUCCGUGCCACCCGACGGGUGUGUAUGGGGAGGGUCGGAUGUGCAGAGUGGCUCGUCGUGCCCGCGGGCGUGGCGGGCUUAAGAUCGGGUGAUCGUCUCGUUUGCCACGAACGAUAAGGGUGGAUGAAAAUUGUGCCUGUGUUGUAUCGUGGCGACGUGUAGAAGAGAUUGUACCCAGCAGAUGAUCCCAAUCUAAGCGUCGUUCCACAGACGUCGGCUUGGAAUGCGACCCCAGGAUGGGCGAGGCCACCC
rnacentral:rRNA from 1 species